CAACAAUUCUGGAAAAUUACCAAAUAUUCACCGCCAAUGUCCGAAACAGAAAACAAAUACUUCAAAUAAUAACGUCAUUUGUCAAACACGUAAAUUGACACGAUCAAUUAAAUUGGCAAAUAUUAGUUAAUCACGCCCCGGUCAUGGUGCAGGACAUUUGCCGAUUACAAAUCAAUAUUUCGGUUCUAGAAAGUAAGACGUGUCAAAAUUCAUUGAAAUUAUUUUAAGUGUUAUCCUAUUAAACUUAGCCUGUAUUAACCUUCUUAUUGCCAGAAAUUCCUAAAGAUAAAAUUGUAAGCUUCGUCAAACAGAACGCGUACUUAGCGCUGCGUUUCAACGUCGCGCUCUUUACAUGUCACACAAAUUGAAUAGAUGAGCCCAACGCUUCUUGACGCAACGUAACGCCAAAACAUAGUGCCUUCCGAUAGCAAUGUGAAAAUUUAAAAGUAUUAAGAUGUUGAGUGAUUCAGAUGUGGCAUUGUAUAAACAUGGGUAUUUCCUAACUAAUUCUAUCAAUUUUUCGGGCAUUAUCCAGUAUUUUAAUACACAUUCACUCACAAAUGAGUGUCUACAAUUAUAAUUAAGGCAAACACAUUAUUUUCAUUAAUCUAUUAACAAUGAAAUUCAGAGAAAAGAAUAGCUUGUCCAGCAUAGACAUUGGAACUUACAAAAAAGAUUGAGCCUCGUGAGCAGAGCACGUAGUCAUAAUACUCUUUAGGCUACCAACCAUUAGGUUAGGAAAAAACGCCAAUAACGAAAGAAAAUGAGAACAACAUGUUUAGUUGUUAAACGAAUAUAAAACGAAGCCUGCUCUGGUGAGAUUGACAACACAACUAUAAGAAUUAGGACUAUGUUGGACGCGGUGAUAGUUUUCAUAAGAUCUCUUAAAUGAGGCUAGGCCGAACUGCAUGACUCCUCUGAUUAAUGGCUUUGAAUAACCCGAGAAUGGGUCCCAAGAGAUCUCUCGGACAAAAUAACAUGGGGUAUUUUUCUCGAGGGAGCUGGAAUCCAAAUUUGGUGAUAGAGCCCGGAAAAGAAAGCUGUCAAUGGAAUUGUUAUGGAGGAUCAGAACGAAGCUACUUUGUGACGCCGACAAUGGUUAUUUUCGCAAAAGACCUUAUGAUUUAGGUUAUAAAUAUUAAAGAAUUAUUAUAACUUUA